rnacentral:rRNA from 1 species
UACAGAGGGUGCGAGCGUUGUUCGGAAUUAUUGGGCGUAAAGGGCGCGUAGGCGGUGCGGUAAGUCACCUGUGAAAUCUCCUGGCUCAACUGGGAGCUUGCAGGCGAAACUGCCGUGCUGGAGUGUGGGAGAGGUGCGUAGAAUUCCUGGUGUAGCGGUGAAAUGCGUAGAUAUCAGGAGGAACACCUGUGGCGAAAGCGGCGCACUGGACCACAACUGACGCUGAGGCGCGAAAGCUAGGGGAGCAAACAGG